UGAAACCGUUUAGGGGUAAACCUGAGAAACCCGAAAGGUCGAAGGAAGAAAUUCAAUCGCGUUUCGACAACAACGUUGUUUGGUCGAGUGACGAAAGUAUGCUUGCAUAUAUUUCGCACCUGCCGUUCAUCGAAUUGUUGACGAACGUGUGCACUUUUCUUUUGGUAGGACGUCGCGAUCCGUUGGGUAUCGGUCUAAGGCUUACGGUGGAGACCGUCAUUACUUUUUUAUUAAUGUAGUGGCGAACCCGUUCGUUUACCGACCGAUUUGCCCGACGGUAUGUGAACGGUUUGGGGCCGCUAAUUAUUAUAAGCGUUCGACUCGUGGCAAGCACGUUAAAUGUUUGACGAUUUUCGGACUUUGUGCCGAUAUUGUCCUUUAACGACUGUUGGCUGCGUAGUUCUCGAACAGACCUCAUAUUAAAAACCGAUCUGCGACGCUAUAGCUUUGGGUACUUUCAGGACCCGUCUUGAAACACGGACCAAGGAGUCUAGCAUGUGCGCAAGUCAUUGGGUUUAUUAUUAUACCUAAAGGCGAAAUGAAAGUAAAGGUAUUCCUUGCGAAGACCAAGGGAAGACAAAUGGUAUGCCCUUAAAAGCGACCGUUUUGCAUUCCCAGGGCGUCUCAUUCUCAUUGCGAGAAGAGGCGCACCAAGAGCGUACACGCUGGGACCCGAAAGAUGGUGAACUAUGCCUGGUCAGGACGAA
rnacentral:rRNA from 1 species